rnacentral:rRNA from 1 species
GAUGAACGCUGGCGGCGUGCUUAACACAUGCAAGUCGAACGGGAAAUACUUCAUUGAGACUUCGGUGGAUUUGAUUUAUUUCUAGUGGCGGACGGGUGAGUAACGCGUGGGUAACCUGCCUUAUACAGGGGGAUAACAGUCAGAAAUGGCUGCUAAUACCGCAUAAGCGCACAGAGCUGCAUGGCUCAGUGUGAAAAACUCCGGUGGUAUAAGAUGGACCCGCGUUGGAUUAGCUAGUUGGUGGGGCAACGGCCCACCAAGGCGACGAUCCAUAGCCGGCCUGAGAGGGUGAACGGCCACAUUGGGACUGAGACACGGCCCAGACUCCUACGGGAGGCAGCAGUGGGGAAUAUUGCACAAUGGGGGAAACCCUGAUGCAGCGACGCCGCGUGAAGGAAGAAGUAUCUCGGUAUGUAAACUUCUAUCAACAGGGAAGAUAG